GAUCUUUGAUUGUUAAAAAAAAAAACCUAAAUACUAUCUAGCGCCGCUCUGCAGACUGACGUUUGGAAACCCCGAUCCCUCGCCCAACUCCGAUUGCGACGGAGCGAACGAAGAUCAGGUACGGACGCUAGCCUGGAGGAGGCCCGCAUGGACUUGGCGCGGCGUGUGUAGGAGGGAUCUGGCUCCUGUAGCGGCACGGAUGAUUCCAGAAACCCUAAGGGUUUCUGGAAACCUAAACUUGGGCCACCGAAUUUUGGGUUUUGGGUAGCAUUGGGUUUAGUUUAGUUUGGGCUGAUUGGGCCUUACAAUAUUUGGGCCUAUUUUUGUAAAUGGACUUUUAUGGACUGUAAACUUAUCUGAGUUUUUUUUAGAUUUAUUUUGAUUUGAUUUUUUUAUUA